UACAGAGGUCUCAAGCGUUGUUCGGAUUCAUUGGGCGUAAAGGGUGCGUAGGUGGCGUCGUAAGUCAGGUGUGAAAUUUCGGAGCUUAACUCCGAAACUGCAUUUGAUACUGCCGUGCUUGAGGACUGGAGAGGAGACUGGAAUUUACGGUGUAGCGGUGAAAUGCGUAGAUAUCGUAAGGAAGACCAGUGGCGAAGGCGGGUCUCUGGACAGUUCCUGACGCUGAGGCACGAAGGUCAGGGGAGCAAACGGG
rnacentral:rRNA from 1 species